GAACGAACGCUGGCGGCAUGCCUAACACAUGCAAGUCGAACGAGACCUUCGGGUCUAGUGGCGCACGGGUGCGUAACGCGUGGGAACCUGCCCUUAGGUUCGGAAUAACUCCCCGAAAGGGGUGCUAAUACCGGAUAAUGUCUUCGGACCAAAGAUUUAUCGCCUUUGGAUGGGCCCGCGUUGGAUUAGCUAGUUGGUAGGGUAAAAGCCUACCAAGGCGACGAUCCAUAGCUGGUCUGAGAGGAUGAUCAGCCACACUGGGACUGAGACACGGCCCAGACUCCUACGGGAGGCAGCAGUGGGGAAUAUUGGACAAUGGGCGAAAGCCUGAUCCAGCAAUGCCGCGUGAGUGAUGAAGGCCUUAGGGUUGUAAAGCUCUUUUACCCGGGACGAUAAUGACAGUACCGGGAGAAUAAGCUCCGGCUAACUCCGUG
rnacentral:rRNA from 1 species